rnacentral:tRNA from 2 species
CCCCCGGUAGCUCAGUUAGUUAGAGCGUCUGCAUUACUUGCAGGAGGUCGUAGGUGCAAAUCCUACUCGGGUAA